CAUGGGGAUCUAAGAAGGAAAGAUGAUGUAUGAAUGAGAAGUCAAUAAAGACUGAAAAAAUUCUCCUGAAUAUUACCUUAUGAGGAAACCCUGACUCAUAGGGCUUCUAAUUUGCACUCCAUAGCAAUCCCUGACUCUCAACCCUUCUGACACUCACUGUCCAGGUGAAUCCAUAGCCAAAGCCAAGGACACAUCAGCAAUUUCGACUUGGUCUCUAGUCUCACUGGUCAACAGGCAAGAGCUACGAUAGAAUAUGUACUUGGACUCAGGCUCAGAAAUUACCAAACUGUCAUAACUGACCCAAAGAUGCUUCCGUUUUGGAACUCAGAUUGAGGCACUACUGGCUUCCUUGCUCCUCAGCUUGCAGACAGCCUGAGACUUCACCUUGUGAUCACCCUGGCACAGGAGUAAGGUAGGGGAUGGUAAAUAACAGGAAGAGAGAAAGAAGAUCUAGAAGAUGGAAGUCAAAAUGUCACAGCAGGCAGUGUAAAGGGCAGGAACAACCAUUCUAGGUAAGCUCACAAAAAUCUUCCUUUUGUCUUUAUUAAUGGCAAUGAUCCCAUUUGUGUGGAACACUAGAGUGCAUUUAGAUUAAGUGUUCUCUUCAGCUUGAUUCCUAAGCUCAUCAAGAUCCUAAGAGCAGAGAACUGAACGAUGCUAGGGAGCUUAUCCUGAGCUUUGAAGAGAUU